AUGGCUAGCUGGCCCAUAUCUCACAGGCCAAGACCUGUAGCUCCAGGAUAUGUGAAAAUGCCUGGUAGGCCUAAGACUCAGAGGAACAAAGAGAAGGGUGAGAAGAAAGUUUCUAAAACAAAGUUACCAAAGACAGGCACGGUGAUCAGAUGUUCGAAGUGCAAAGGGACGGGGCAUAAUAAAACAACUUGUCAUAUAAAAGAAAGCAGCCAACCAGCUCAAACUGUGAGGCAGCCCAUGGCUUCACAACAAAGCAGCAGUGCACCCAAGACUUCAAAAGGGACAAAGAGGUCUGCUUCUAACAUGUUGGCGUCUACUGUAGACAAGGGAAAAGGAGUGCAGAAACAGAAAGGGCCAUCUAAAGCUUCUAUCAAAGGGGUGCAUGUUAAUGUCAGUUCAAGCUCAGCUGUGACAGUGAAUGUGAGCUCUGGUGCUGCUAAUUCUCAGUGCAAUUCAAAAAGGCCAAAAAACUACCAAAGAAGCUACUUGAUUAGUUCCAGAAUGUGUUUGCUAGCAUUGCAAACCGUUUGA
rnacentral:rRNA from 1 species